rnacentral:miRNA from 1 species
GCCACGGCAGGUACCUACAUUGCCUCCCAGACUGUGAAGAAGGUGAGUGAGAUCAACCCUUACCUGCUGGGCACCAUGGCUACACAGCAGAUUGUAGUUUCUGGG